AGCUGGGUCUCACGCAACGGUAGGUUAUGAACUCCGUCAGGUCCGGAAGGAAGCAGCGGCAGUAACUAUUCCCGUGUGCCGUGGGGCAGCCCAGCUAUC
rnacentral:SRP_RNA from 1 species